rnacentral:lncRNA from 1 species
GUCUAGUGACGGUGGCUGCCGCGAGCGGGCGGACGCUCGCAACCUCUGAUGGAGGGGGGCUCAAGUUCACGGCUGCGGACGGGGAUGCGGGGGAUGCAGGGACCCGGGAGGCCAGGGAACCUGGCCAGUUGUUUUGGGCCAGGGGUGCGGGCGAGGGGUGGUUGUUGUUUCCCCACUUGUGGGGCCCGAAGUCAUCCACCGGCGGCCGCCACCGCGCGGGGCUGGAGGCUGAGAAUCCAAGUACGCUGCCACCCCCCCGCACUUCCGGGGGGGCGGGAAUACCGCCCUUAAGGUGGCUCUGUGAAGUCCCAGGUGGGGGCGAGCCUAAGGGGACUUAAGUUUAGGGGCGGUCUCCCGAGAGUCGGCCCCCCACGUUGAGAACACUCCGAAGUUUGCAUCUCGGUCAAGUUCAGGAGCGACGGUCCGCGGGGUCGUCUGGCUGCUCGUAGAAGCCGAGAGAUUUGUAUUGCCCGAAACUGGACGCUCAGCUGAGUCUCCGUUGCACCCCACUUCAUCCUCCGGGACCGUGGGGGAAAGGGCGCGGGGGUUCACAGCUUUGCCUCGGAGGGGCAGUUUUUAUAGUGGGCGCAAUUGGUGGGUAACAGGGUCCAGAUGGGAACAAGCGUGUAGGCGAUCCGAAACUCGGGGAACCCCGGUGUUAGUCUACUCCCCCUCCCGCCCCCGGACAACACGCACACGCUUAACACAACACGCACAACAUAACGCGCGCGCGCGCGCACACACACACUCCAUCCGCGCCGAGUUGCUUCCGGGAAAACAAGCCCAGAAGGCGGCGGACACUCGCAUAAAGUCACGCAGUAGUACUCGGAGCCCGGGGUAGAACCUGGACUUCAAAUCUCUGCACUCCCGGCCGGGUGGUGGGCGCAUAUCCUGGGUAGCCUCUAGGAAGCGCUAGACACAUGUAAGUGGUUCCUUUUCCGCGGUUAUUUUAUUCUCCCCCCGCCCCCCACCCCUUAGGGACGAAA